GAUGGGGAAAGCUACGAGCUGUGCCUGACGACUCAGAUGAAGAUGAGGGCGGAGGGUGUCAACGCGCUGGGGGCGUACUACGAUUUAAGGGAGAGAAACCCUGCCCCAUAUGCGGCAUGGCUGAAUUUCUCGGAGGAGAAUCUGUGCAUCUUGUGCUCCUCCCCGGAGAGGUUCCUGCGGCUGGACGGAGACGGGACGUUGGAGGCGAAGCCCAUCAAGGGCACUGCAGCUCGAGGCUCAACAAUGGAGGAAGAUCGUCGCCUCAUGCUUCAACUGCAGAACAGGUGCGUCGCCAUUGCUGGAACCGAUUGCUUGCAUGAAAACUAACUCCCCCCCCCCCUGCCUCCUCCGUGAUUGCCGGGCUACCUACCACCCGUUGAGUAAGUUCCUCCGAUUAUCACAUGAACUGUUCCUCUGAUUAUCAUGAUCGUGGCCGACAUUAUCCUCUUCCUCCGCAUGUUUCCAAAUCUAUUGAUGGUAAUAAUUAUGCCAUCUCUCUGGUUCUGAUGCCAUCCUGCUGCUGGGUUUUUUUCCCUCGACAGUGAGAAGGACCAGGCGGAGAACUUGAUGAUUGUCGAUCUGCUGAGGAACGAUCUGGGUCGGGUCUGUGAGCCCGGAACCGUCCGCGUUCCCCAUCUGAUGAAGGUAGAGUCUUAUGCGACCGUUCACACGCUGGUCAGCACCAUACAGGGCGAGAAGAAGCCACAUCUGAGCGCCAUGGACUGCGUGAGGGCGGCCUUCCCGGGGGGCUCGAUGACCGGAGCCCCCAAGCUGAGGUCGAUGGAGAUCCUCGACUCCCUCGAAUGCUGCUCCAGAGGCGUGUACUCGGGCUCCAUCGGGUUCUUCUCCUACAACAAGCGGUUCGAUCUGAACAUAGUGAUCAGAACUGUCGUUCUUCACGAGGGAGAGGCCUCGAUAGGCGCCGGAGGGGCCGUGGUGGCCCUCUCCGAUCCCGGGGAUGAGUACGAGGAGAUGCUGCUGAAAGCGAGAGCCCCCGCCAGAGUCGUCGAGGAGCACUCGGAGCCGGCGGCUCCCCAGAAAACACCGAAGAAUCGGAGCUCUGGCGGUGAAUUGUGUGGCCGCGCGCCUUCGUUGCCAGAUUAGUCCUUUGCCCAUGAUUCAGUUCUUCUUCUAUAGAAAUUCUUACCCUUUAUGUAAAUCUCAUGUCGCAGAAGUUUCCUUCUCUCUCUCUUUUUCUUUUUUACAUUUUUUUCUUCUUCAAAUUUCUUGCUGGAAUGUGAUUUCGGCCUCAUUAUCUAUCUUUGGAUGAUUUACUGGGUUUGUAAUCAAAUAGUGGGCAUAAUUUCUCUGCCGUCUGCUGCUGAAAAAAUUGAGAGGCAGUGGGGCAGAGGUGACUUUUCCCACCAGUUUUUUGUUUUCUUCAUCAAAUACAUAAAUGGAUGAAUGAGCAAGUAGAUUAGGAAGUCAAUGAGCUUUUCUCUUAUUCUUCUUCUUCUUCUUCUUCUUCUUCUUCUUCUUCUUCUCCGAGACCGGGAGCUUCCACUUUUGGGUAGUUCCAGAAGAAAGCUGAUGAUUUUAAUGGCUAAUCUCGUGGUCUCUGACCGAAAGUAGGAACCAGAUGGCAUCAAGAAAUGGAAAUCGAAUAAUGGAAAAAAAUUGCAGGCCUCGGGGCUCGCCAUGGGACUCAAAUCCGACGGCCAGGGCGAGAGCUCGGUUGGGCUUGCAUCUGCCGUCCGUUUCCAUCCAUCGUAUGAACUCUGGGUGCCCGCUUUUUCAGCCGCUACGAUGAUCAAUAGAUCUCCAAAUUUUUCUUGGCCGCAAGGCUAUAAAUACUUUGUUUUAAGCAGUCGCUGCCCGAUUUUUCAGAAAGCUCUUUACGGGGCUCAGUGGGCGCCUCUCUCUCUCUCUCUNNNNNNNNNNNNNNNNNNNNNNNNNNNNNNNNNNNNNNNNNNNNNNNNNNNNNNNNNNNNNNNNNNNNNNNNNNNNNNNNNNNNNNNNNNNNNNNNNNNNUUUGAAAAGGAGAAAAAACUCCUUGUGCUUUAGUGUUUGAAUAUUGUGCUCCUUUUUCUUCUUACAAAUGUUGUGCUCAUUUUUCUCAUAUUAGAAGACAAUUAAGAAUACAAUGUGUAUAAAGAAUGGUUAUGUAUAAAACAAAACAACAAAGAGGAUUGCAAUUCUUAAUCACAUAACGUUAUUUUUCAUUGCAUAUUUUCUACUAUUUUUAAGAGAAAAUAGAUAUACAUAAUUGAUUUACCUUUCUUUAAUGUGAUAAAUAUAUGAAAUGUAAAACUAUUCAAUUGGUAAAAUGUGGACUUUCAAAUAAUUUAGCCACUUGGCAAAAGCUAUUAAAGUAACACACGAAAUAGUAUCAUAUUAAUUUUUGCUUCAAUUUUUAGGAUUUCUGUGAUAGUUCGCACAUGUUUAUACUUUCUCAUAUGUGUCAUCAUAAUCAAUAUAUUAUUUUUUUCCUCACGUAAUAGUUUUAUCACUUCUUACAAUGGCAUGUCUUUGAAUUAAAUGAAACCCUUAAUAUGUGAUGACCCCAUGAUAACUGGGCUUGAACAAUUUUACAAAUGCAUGGUAGAUGCCAAUGGGGAGGCCAGUACAAAGAGAUGGGACCUUCCACAGAAGGGCCUGUGGUCAUACGAGGAGGAUGGCAUUGGAAGGGAGGAGUGCAACGAGACGCAAAGGGAUUCCCCGCAUGUCGGGUCUAAAUGGCGCACAAGCGUGCCAGGAGGGAGCGUUUUAUUGGUGGAGGACCGAGUCUCCAUGAGACUGGUCUUCAUCCGCCAAGGAAACGUGCGUGAAUGAUCUUGUUCAUUGAUGCACGGCGUCAAUUGCCCAUCCCUGAUUACUUUUUAUCGUAUGAACCACAAACAUAUGAUAAAAUAAUGUGCAAAGUCAUGGUCUUGUAUAACUAUUUUCAUCGAUCAGGGCUAAUGAAAUGAAUAUUUUUAUCUUCUCGAAGCGCCGUGUUAGUUUUGCUUCGAUUUUUGUCCUUUUUCUUGGAAUUGAAAUAAAAGAGGCGGGUUUUUUGGUCUGAUAGUCGGCGGCGGCGAGGACGCCGCCAAAGGAGGCCCUCGCCUCUCUACCGUGCAACGGGGUCAACCACGACGACAACGACGGCAGCGGCGGCGGGGCAGACCGCACGUGAGGAAGUCACGGGUCGCGGGCUGACGCCGCUCACGGUUGCGAUGGAGACGGCCACGUUUUCUCAAUUAAUGCUUCAGAGAGGAUAUUAUUGUGAAGUCUUUUACUUCAGGAUAAUCUUAAAUCUCCCUGCCCCUCCUCUCUCUCUCUCGAUCGGUACCGUCUGAUCAUUGGCCGAAUCUGCGAGCAGAUCUCCCGUCGGCGCCUGUUUGCUAUCAUUGGUCGGCGGAACAGCACUCUCUCUCUCUCUCUCUAGCUAGGUGGCUACUGAGAAAUAAAAAAAUAACACGAUUAAUAAUGGGGCAAAUUAUUGGAAACCGCCGAAUUAUAUUUUAAUUUAUUUUUCAGCGCCCAUGGCCGAAUAACAUUCAAGUCCAUCGGAUUCGUCUGUUUUAAGUCAACACGAGCGGGGAUAUCCACUGCUUUUAUUUUUUCAAAUUAUAUACUAGAAGCGGGGGGAGGGCGCAUGUUAACGUUUGGCGUCACGCUGGGCAGGUGUAUAUUCGCCCACCGCCGCCGCCGCCGCCGCCGCCCGCCCGCCACGGAGUUGAAAUCCCCGGAGGAGAAUCGACUGACGGCCGCGUAUUCUACGACGAAACCCGUUCCUUCCCGUGUUCUAGAAAAACGGGCUGAUCUUCCCCCGCCCCUUUAAAACCUCUGGGUUUUCGGCGGCCGUUUACAGAUUUCCCUCGAGGAGGUGGAGAAACCAGAAAAUUUCCAGGGCUCCGAGAUUUCGAGGGAGGUGGAGUCCUUCGACUGAUUCUGCGCGGAUACCUCGCUCUCUCAUUGCGUUUGGUGGAUUGGGCAAUGGAGUCUUCGUCGCCGCCGCAACGGUUGGGAUAUCUGCGUCGCUCCGGUGCCCCUCCUCCGGACACGUUGAGAUUUCUUUAGGCGCGUCGAUCGCUCUCUCUCUUUCUCUCUCUCUCCCUUGUUUUCGUUCUUCUUCGGCCGGCGGCGGCUUGCCGGAGAGCGAAUAGGUUGGGGAAGAUGAGUGUGGAGAAGUCCCAGGUGUGGCAGCCCUGCAAGAAGAAGAGAUCCUGACGGGCUCCACAGUCCCGCGGCGUUCGCUUGUGUGGCAGGCGUAAGUGGGCGGGUGGUGAACGAGAGAACGGAGAAGAUGAAGGGUGGAGGAGGGACGGGGGCGGCGUUGACCGGGGUGACCAGGGUGGGAAAGUACGAGCUGGGGAGGACGCUGGGGGAAGGGACCUUCGCGAAGGUGAAGCUCGCUCGGAACGUGGUGACGGGGGAGAAUGUUGCCAUUAAGAUCCUCGACAAAGAGAAGAUCCUCAGGCACAAGAUGAUCGGCCAGGUUUGUCUUCUGGGUCCCUCACUCCUCUCUCUCUCUCUCUCUCUCUCUCUCUCUCUCUCUCUNNNNNNNNNNNNNNNNNNNNNNNNNNNNNNNNNNNNNNNNNNNNNNNNNNNNNNNNNNNNNNNNNNNNNNNNNNNNNNNNNNNNNNNNNNNNNNNNNNNNAAGGCCCCCGCCAUACCUCUCUCUCUCUCUCUCUCUCUCUCUCUCUCUCUCUCUCUCUCUCUCUCUCCAGAGGUCCGGAGCUCUGGAAUUGUAAGCCUUGGGGGGACGAGGGAAGGUUUAAAUAGGGAUGUGGCGGGAAGGGCUAACCGUCAGUCCGAUAAUCCCGGGAAUUUCGUUUCGGCCGGCGGGUGCGGGGAUUUCGUUUCUAAGAAUAAUGCCUAGGAAUUAGUAAAGUCUCUCCAAGGAUAAAAAAAGAUUCGACUGUAAGUGAGUCCAUAUAAGAAGAAAGAAACUAUGUCAACACUAUAACCUCCUAAAUAAAUUCAACCCCCCUCCCUCAUUGUCCAUCUCACCUUCUUUGGAUCCUCUCUACACCAUAGAGUAUGUUCUCAAUCUCCAGCUCAACUUGGUGCCUUGUAGCCUCAAAUGCAUCAUUGUGGAUCACACAAACAUUUAGAGGGGCACCUCAAAUUGGAUGAUUGGGUUGCCUAGAAUUGCUGUGAUGAGCCCACAUGUCUCCUUCAGCUGCCCUACAAGUCCAAGGAGGUUGAUGGUGCCUACAUAGUGUACAUCUACCUGGGGCCUUAUGUUGCCAAUGUCAGUGUAGAGUGUGUGGCUGAACAGUAUGAGCCCCUCGUUGACUAAUCUAAAAUGACCUCAUUGGGCUUUACUUCGGCCACCAACAUCAUGUUCUACAACAUUUAGUGGGAAUGUUGCAGAAAAAAUAUUGUACAACAAUUAGGCUCUCAAUGUCAACCUCGUGGUAUAGGUCAGACCUUGUCUUGACUAGGUAGAUGUGAAUAGGGAAUGGAAGGAUGAUUACUUGAAAGGUUAAAAGUGAAAGAAGUAACAUAUUUGUGCCCUGAAUAUGGCUUUGAUACCAUUUUAUAGUCUUAAGUUAUGUGAAGUUGAAAUCAUGUCAUUGAUUUUUGAGAAGUUUCUUUAGCUAACAUUCACAAAUUUCGAAACUUUGAUGCUAUAUUUCACAUGAAUUUUGAUCUUGAUCCACAAUAUCAAAUGAUUUAUCUAAAUACACAAAUUAAGAAAAAAAGAUAAUUAAUUAAAUAGCUCUGAGGUAUAAAGGGGGGCUUUAAAUAAGCUAAAAAUCUAUUAGAAUGCUACUACAAAUGGAUGGUUUUAUUAUAAUGCUCUUAAAAUAAACAAAGGAUUAUGUUAAAAUAUCUCAUAAGAAAAUGGGGUGUUUAGUCAAAAAAAUUGGAACAACUAAAAGUGGGAAAUUAAAUUAAAAAAAUGUGAAAACUGAGUAAUGACACAUUUAACACGUAUGUUAUUAAAUGGCCAUAAAAUGUAUUGAGUCAACUUGUGCUAGCAAUUCAAUCUUCACUAUUGUUGGGCUCCUAGUCCAUCAAAAUCCAAUUGUGUGGAAAAUUAAUCUUUAACAUAUCUGAAUAUAUCUAAAUAUGAGUCAAACGUGAUUUGAGCUUUUAGAGGUAUCCUGAACUUUGUAACACAUUUCAAGUUAUUUGAUUAAUUGGGCCACAAGUUUUGGGCCACUUGAGUCAAUACCUUUUUGUCCUUCUUUCGAUUGAGUUUGAUGGCUUACAUCAUGCGAGGCCUCCGAGUGGAUAUUGAACAUAGAGAAUGAGUUUUGCGACAUUAUUAAUAUAUUUUAACAAUUUUCCUCAUGGAAAAUUGUAAUCAUGACAAACUAAAAUAUACCCGAUAAACAUAAUUGUGAUAAUAAAUAAUAGUAUCAUGACUAAUGUGGGUUGUAAAUGGGCCUGUCCACAUAGUUAUAGCCGACAGCCCACCACCUGUCCUCUCUCCCCAAACCUUAAAAUUUCCCAGUCCAGCAUGAAUAUAUAUAUAUAUAUAUAUAUAUAUAUAUAUAUAUAUAUAUAUAUUAUUUUCAAGGAUUUCCCGAACAGAAUCCAAUUUGGGAAAUCAGCGGUCAACCAAUUCACGGACUUUCCCUUUCGUGACGAGCGUUGACAUUCGUUAUAUGUCGAGCCUUAACAUCCCUCUCUCUCUCCCCCUCUGCAAGCUCAGCAUUCGGAGGGUGUUCAGCAUAGGUGAAUGUACACAACGGAAGGUAAGGGUAAAUCCGUCAAGUUUCCAACUGGCCGACGCAAUCCAAUAAAUGGGGAUGUGGGCCCAAUGGGUUCCCGAAGUCAACCCGCGGACCCACAUGACAACGUCAUCGCAGUAUGCUGACGUAAUCAUAUCCGAAUGACUUAGGCUGGACGAGCUUUUAAAUAUAAAUUAAUCUUAGUUCUGGGCAUUAGGAGAAAAGUAGCCGUUGCGCGGGAGACCAAAGCGAGAGGAGCGCCGCGUCCAUGAAGUCCGAUGGAGCAGCGGCGGGGCUGCUUUCGGUGGGGACCGGCCGGGGAAGAAGACAGCGUCCUGCGGCGAGCAUCACAGGGCGUCAUCGUCUCCGCCAUUGGAUUCCAUAUUUUGCUGUGUUUUGGUCCAUGGAGAUCGUCGGGUUCGUACUCGCGUGAGUCGAUGUGACAUGUUCCUGUGUCGUCCAUGGAGAUCUGUCCCCCCNNNNNNNNNNNNNNNNNNNNNNNNNNNNNNNNNNNNNNNNNNNNNNNNNNNNNNNNNNNNNNNNNNNNNNNNNNNNNNNNNNNNNNNNNNNNNNNNNNNNACCGCCACCCCCCCUCCCCGGGCCCGUCCGACCUCUCUCUCUCUCUCUCUCUCUUUCUGAGGUCUUCUUUCAAGUGGAUCUACGUGUGGUUUGAUCGUUGAAAAAUUUUCUAACCCUUGUGCCUUUACAGAUCUCCACUGUCCGACUUUAUUGAGAGAGUUUUCUUCUUCAAUUAAGACAGGUGGACUGCAGGCGCACAUUAGAUUGUAAAGGCCAUGCAAGCUAGCAGAUAAUGUACCGUUCACCUGAAUCUGAAGGAUUACUGAAAAGUUCACCAGAAGAUAUAACCAAUUGAGGAAGGGCUGGCAUAUGAAGGGAACGUCCUCCAGAAAGGCACCAAGGCUUUAGUGGAUAAUUUUCUGUCCUAGUGCUAGACAGGCGAGGUAUCCGGGGUUGGGACUUCAGAGAAAUGACCAUAUAACAAUCUUUCAACCCCUAAGAUUAUCUCACAAAGCUAUAUUAAGAAUUUAAAUCUUACAUUCUAUUUUUCCUAACAACUUAUUCAUUUUCGGCUCUUUAGCAACUGCAUUUUCUUCUUUCCCAGAUUAAUCAAUCACUUACAGAGGAACGAACAUUAGAAGAAUAAGAGGAACAAGACAUUAGAAGAAUAAGAGGAACAAGACAUUAGAAGAAGAGAAAAUAAGUCUCCGAGUUGUUCGGCCUGUUUGAGCACCAAGUUUAGGAGGACCACGACAGCAACUAGAAACUGAGGAAAUGGAAUAUAAUUCUGGAAUUUGAUCAUAAUUCAAUCCGUUUCCAGGACGACUCCCGGAUUCAAGGUUUCCUUCAUUCCCCUCAUUCCUCCUCCUCACCUCUCAGUUAGAAUUCACAUUCUGACAUGCAAAGACGACAACAGUAGAGGAAAUAGGGAUUCCUUCUAUUUUCAAGAUAUCUAUUCUUACCUACGCAACGACCGCCGACAUCCGGAUCUCUUUCUCCCCCGUGGAGCUCCAAUCAAGGUAGAAUUCCCUUUGAGUUUUCUUCUACGUUUUUGCAGAGGUCCAACCGUUCUCAUCGUCGGACGCAACCAUCAUUACAAGACCCCGACGCAUCUCUUCUUCCAGAGCUGCGGCUGCGGCAGCUCCAUCUCUCUCCGUUCCUUUCCCCCUUCAUCUGGCGUGGGGGUGGCUGCGGCCUCACCGGGUACCUUUGCGAUAUUCACGCCGAAGAGCCUCAUUACCUGGGUAGGUCUGGCUAGCUGCAAGGCUUGGACGGCCGGAAUGAAAGUCGACGAAGAACGUGGCUUCCAGCCGAUGUAGAGCUGUCUGUCGAGGCCAGUCGACCGCUGGAAGCUGACUACAUCACCGGCCUUGAGGCUUUUCUCCUUGACGAAGCGGCUCCACCCUUUUGUGAGCACGUAGCUCUGGCUGCUGUUCCAGUAGGAAUACCGGAAGCGCCACGUCUUUCCCCCGGAAUCCUCCAAGUUGAGCAGAAUGCCCUUGCUGGCGGCGCCGUCAAUCUGAAGCGGGAAGUACUUCUCGGCAUGUUGCUUCGGUAUCACCAGCCGGUUGAGUUUGCCCACGUCACUAGGGGUCACCGCCUUGUCGAAGAGAUGCUCUCUAGCAGCAGAUCCGACGCCUGAGAUAGCGUGGCGGUGAACAGCAACUGGCGAGGCGCCGUAGGUGGGGCCGAGAGCUCUCUUGCCCUGCUGCAGCUCGUCGCGGUAGGUGUGCUUGCGGAGCAUAUCGACGAUCUCGGCCUUGGAGUGAGAGUUAAUGAAGAGGAGCUCGGCGGCGCCGUGGUUGUCGGACUCGGAGAGAGGCCUGAAGUUGGUGACGGCAUCGCGGCCGCGGAAUCGCUGGGCAGCGACGUCGUAGGCUCGGGCAGCCUCCGCCUCAUCGUUGAAGGUGCCGAGCCACACGCGUUGGUGCUUCUCGUAGAUCUGAGCGCCCCACCGGCCGUUUGGUUGGGGCACCACCCCUUUGUACUGCGAUGAAGGUAGCUUUCGAGACUCCACCUCCGGGCCGUGCUCUGGGUCCAGAACCACGCUAGCGCCGCUCCCGACCCUGUGGAUCUUUUCGCAGGAAGAAGAUACACCAGGCUGAUGGAGAGAGAGAAGGCGGGAAGCCGCCGGGGAAGUGAGGUUGGGCGUCUUCAUUGGCACCACCACCUGAUCGCUCCGGCAGCCGCCGUCCAUGACAAAAGUUGCCACUCUCUUUCUAUCUUUCGUUCUAUCUGUUUUCUCCAGGAGAAGAAUCUUAGGAGAAGAAGAGGACGAGAAGCCUUAGUAUUUAUGGGAUGAGGUCAUUCCGCGUUGUGAGAUGAGGAGAGAAGCGGUGUGAUGAAGUAUAUCAGGUGUGGUGAGGAAGACUCAGCAUAUACGCAUAUAUAGGGAGCGGCCCCAAGUGGGCUUUCAAUCUUCCUCCAACUUCGUAGUUAUACCGGACUUUUCUCAUAAUCUCAUGGGUUUUUGCGUGCGUCGUAUAUUGUGACGACAGCAAGAAGAUUCAUUUGAGGCAGCAGACGUGUCCUCUCUCUCUCUCUCUCUCUCCUCCUCUACUCUCUCUANNNNNNNNNNNNNNNNNNNNNNNNNNNNNNNNNNNNNNNNNNNNNNNNNNNNNNNNNNNNNNNNNNNNNNNNNNNNNNNNNNNNNNNNNNNNNNNNNNNNGUCCAGCGUCGCCCACGGGAUUGACAUAUCCCAGCUGUCAUUCCUUGACCACAUGCUUCUUUGCACCCGUGACCCCCCCCCAUCUCACCUCCGCACUUCCACCACGUCGAGUACACACCCUCUCCCUCCAUGAAAGCGGCAGCAACAUCGAUUCUCGAGAAUGUUGGAGUAAAUACAUUAUAAUCAUAUGAUAAUUACUCCUCUGAUUCUAUAUGAUGGAUUACUCACCUGACGAAGACAUUAUGUAUCAAGUAUUCAAGGAGAUUGCAGCGGAAGAAGAAAGAUGUGUUUGUCUCCCUAAAUUAACAGACAUCUUGAUAUCCCUUCUCCAUAGGGUGCUCCUUAAUGGCAGAUUAACGCACCAACAAGAAGAGUACCAAGUCCUUGGAACACUAAAGGUUUUGUUCCCAUCAAACAAAACGAGGAGAAGAGAGAAGAGAGGGAGAACAGUGUGUCCUCAUCUUUCUCUUAUAAUGAGGGUUCUCCUUAAAUAGAGAGUGUGUACCAUUUCCCACAAAAAGAUAAUUAAUAGGUACUUGUGAGGGCAAUUAUGAAUAGAUAAUUAUAAUGUUAAUGGGUCAAUAGAGAAUCCACUGGCGGCUUCUGUCGCCAUGUUCAAGUUCACUGGGGAGGAUGUGGAUACCCUGAAGCGUCUGCAAGGCGCAGGGCCUGGAGGCCGAUCAGCAGACCAUGCUGUACAUAGCCAUGAACUGCCGCCCCCGCCUCAAACCCAGCCUCCCACGGGGAUAUUUGGGGAACGCCAUCUUCACGACGACUCCAAUGGCGGCGGCGGGAGAACUCCUGCAGGGCCCAGUGACGAGCGUCGCGGGGAGGAUCCACGAGGCGCUGAUGCGGAUGGAUGACGAUUACCUCCGUUCGGCGCUGGACUACCUGGAGCUCCAGCCGGACCUGUCCAAGUUGAUGCGCGGCACCCGAACUUUCCGGUGCCCCAACCUCUCAGUCACCAGCUGGGUGCGCCUGCCGAUCCACGACGCGGACUUCGGUUGGGGCAGGCCGGUGUUCAUGGGCCCCGGUGGCAUCUUCCUCGAAGGGCUGGCCGACUUGAUCCCGAGCGCCACGGGGGAUGGGAGCCUCUCACUCGCCAUCUCCCUCCAGGCCGACCACAUGACCAGGUUCCGAAAGCUCGUCCACGAAUUCUAAUUGAGUGUGUUUGUGCGUGAGAGAGAGAGAGAGAGAGAGAGAGAUUCUUCUGGCAGGGAGAGAAUGUCUUUCGGAGACCCAGAUCGACCGCAAGUCUCAAGAUGUUGCUUUUGGAAUUGACUGGGCCCUCUACUGUUCUGCAGACGGCAAUCCAUUGCAUUCGUUCUUAGUCAAAUGUUGAAGGCCAAAAUUCGACAGUUGGUCCAGCCGAGUACUCCCUCCAGUCAGAAAAUGUACUCUGUCUAAUCAUUAUCCCGGCAACCAUCCCUUUCGCCGUCCGUCUAAUCAUCGUCCUCCCCCACAACGUUUGGUCGGCGUUUAUCGCGAACGCUACCGCCAUAUCUUGGAUCUCCGACAGUCCAGGGUAAGUCAACGACCCCCACCUCUCCUUGUUGGGCCGUUGGGAUCAUUCAGAGAUCAAUGCUUGAAGCCCAGCCCGCUCCACCCCCGAGGUUUCUAAUACUUUAGGGUUGACGGACUGAAGAAUUCAGCAGACGAGAGGCCGUCAGGGCUCCAGCUCCAUGGGGUGGGAGACCCGUCGGUGAUGGAGAACGGGGACGAGUGGCUCGCACAUGACAAGAUCCAGCACUUCGUCGCGUGUCUCCUCAUCACCGCCUGCGUGUCGGGCGUAUUGAGCCGGUCCCGGUAUCGCUUCCUGAGACGAUGGUCAACGCCGCUGGGCUGCGUUUCGGCCCUCGUCGCGGGGAUCGCCAAAGAGGCCGGGGACGAGCUGGGGUUCUGGGAAUCCGCCGGAGCCUCGCUCAAGGACGGCGUCGCGGACGUCCUCGGGGUAUUCGUCGCGGCGGUCUUCCUUUCCUUCUCGAGGAAGCUCUCUCCGUCGCCGGCGGAGAAGGUGGAUCGCGAUCGAGACCUUUCAAUGGUCUGAUUCGCCGUUCAUCGUCGGACUGGACUAUCUCCUAUCAAUUUUGACCGCCGUGGCGAAUAUGAUCGAUCAACCCUGGAGAGGGGCGUUUGAUCCGGAAACCUAAUGUUUCGAUCGGCCUUCGCUAUGUUACUGAUUGUUGCGGAAUUGACACCGGUUUCAUACAAGGCAGAUGAUCAUAUCUUCAUACCAAUGAUCAGAUAACGCCUUCUGCGCUUUAAUUACUGCUGAUACGAAGGAUCAAACUUUUAGGGCAUGUCUGCGUCAGGGCCUAGAUACUUUUAGAUAUCGAUUUACGCAUGAAUGAAGAUACGAUGAUCCAGUGGCCGGAUCAGUAGCUACGCGCGCUGAUGCGCGAGGGAAGGAGCUGUGGCCUUUUGUAGGAUCUUCUGGAUACCUCGAUGGAAAUGGGUAGUUAUCCGAAUUCUCCCCAUUUUCAACUUUUUUAUCCCAAGAAAAAAAGNNNNNNNNNNNNNNNNNNNNNNNNNNNNNNNNNNNNNNNNNNNNNNNNNNNNNNNNNNNNNNNNNNNNNNNNNNNNNNNNNNNNNNNNNNNNNNNNNNNNGGAGGAAGAGCCCUAUCUUCUUCUCUUAUCACCAAGCCUUUCUCCACAAAUUCCUUUAGAUUGUUUUAGGAAUGCAUUGUUUGCGGAGAACAAAUGAUUCACCGAAAUCAACCUUGCAAGAUCCUAUAUCCUUUAAUUUAGGAUUUUUCAAUUAUAAAAUUUUCUUUUCACUUAUAUGACCAAGCCUAGCAUGCCACAACAUGAUAACAUCAUCUUUAAAAUGAGAUGUGAUUAAUGCAUCACCAAAUACAGUAGUAUCAAGCAACUUGUACAACGAUCCAAUUUUCUCUCCCAAUAUAUCAGCUAAAGCACUUUUUUUAUUUUAGAAAACCAUUAGUAUUAAUAUAAUUAAAAUCAUUUGCAUCCUGUACUUGAGUUAAAUUUGGUACAUUUUGGUACAUAACAUCUAGAAAAGUUUUGACUGCUUAUAUUAAACAGUUUAAUUUUUAUUAUUCAUAUUCCAAUAGUUCUUCACUCAGUAUUAUAAUCCAUGAGAAUUCUACCUUCAUCUUGGGAUGUAUGUGUCAAAUGUAUUCCCAAGUGAUAGGAACAAGUAGAAUCAAGAAUCAAUUCUUACUUGAAGAGAUCGUUAAAACAUUUAUUUCCUUUUCUAAAUCGAAAGCAAUAUUGGCUUACACAACUGAUUCACUACCCUUCUACUUAAAUUUCUCAUAAAGUACCAGAAAAACUGGUUUCUAAUUACUUUAUUGGUUUCAAUAGUAACAUUUGGCAUUACCUUUUGACUUGGGACUAAAAUGAUUUUUAUUGAAAUCUUUAUUUUUGGAACAUCCUCUUUCUUGACUUGAACCUUUCACUAUCACACUUUUAGUAUCUAUAAAAUAUUUAUUUCUAACCUGAUAUAAUAAUAAUAAUAAUAUUUAACAUUUCCUAUCUUCAAGUUGUAUUUGUCAUAGACUACUGUUGUCACUAAGUGGUCAUAAACUUUGAAGUAAUAAUGGAAGAAUAAGGACAGCUUAAUCUUCUUACUCCACCUUGGCCUCCAAACUAUGAAGAUCUGAGAUUAACUUAUUGAAUGUAUUUAUAUUUUCUAGCAUACUUUCUUCUUCACACAUACAUAAGCUACAUAGGUUCUUUAGAUAUAGUUUAGAUUUAAGAGGUUUUGAAAUAUAGAAUAUUUCUGGUUUCUUUUAUAAAACAGUAGUAGUAUCCACUCUGGUAAUAUUAUAUACCUCAUAAGUUGUUCAUAACUGAAGUAAUACCAAUUACUUCGAAAUCUAAUUCAUCCUAAUGCUCAUCACUUAAUUUGCAUACUCUUUCUUUUCUAAAAAUAACUUUGCGAGGUCAUUGUACAGAGAUUAUCUUCACUCUCUUUCAUCACAAACCAAAAUCAAUAUUUCCAUUGAAUUCUGCAACCUCAAAUUUUGCCAUCAUGUUUCCAAUAGCAGGCUUGCUAAGAUAACAUCAACCUGCCUCUAAGACCAAAUGAUUUUUGUAAAUCAAUAUGAUACAAAUAUAUAUAUGUAUGUAUGUAUAAAAGCCUCAAGUAUGGAUGUGUCUAAAUUAUCAAAGAAAUAUAGAGAAAAUUUAAAAUUAAAAAAACAAUAAUAUGUGAUACGCCAUGAUAUAAGUGGUUCAAAGAAAUUCUUCUACGUCUAUAGAGAGAACUAGAGAUAUUCAUAUGGUGGAAGAAAAAAAGGAGAGAAACAGAAAGGGUUGAAAGAUAUUUUGAUCUCUUUUCUCGACUCAAUGUUGAACAUUUUGCUCUUCGAGAAGAAAAAAAAAAGACGCAAUUGAAAGAAUCAAGAACCGUUUAUUCUUCUCCUCUCACCAAGCCCUACUUCUCCACUACCCUAUCAACCUCUUACAACUCUCCAAAACUCUCACUCACCUUCUCCCAUGCCCCUCCCCUUUAAAUAGAGUAAGAGGAGGGAGGGGGAGACGAAAGGAGCAAAAGGAGAGGGAACCCGUUAUGACCGGGGUGGUGGGGGGUGUCGUCAUCCUCAUCUUCUCUAUUGGGCCGUUGUAACGGCCAAACUAGUUCAAAGGAGCCAAUAAGAAGAGAGGCAGCUGGGUAAGCAGCCGAACCACAUAAUCAUUGACUAUAUAAAAAGAGGCACGAUGGUUAUAAAAGGACGCCCGCAGGAGUCCAGACGGGAGAUGGCUGCGGACGGAAGGCAGCAAGUCAAGGCAAACGGCACGUGACAAGCCGGAUGUCAACGGAGCGAUUAAAUAAGGCGCAGCAGGAAAGCCGCCCGUGAAAGAUGGUUCCUUCGCCAAUCUGAGAUUCGGCUAGAUCCGAUCUUUUGUUACCGCAAAUGGACGAGGAGGAUGAGGACGAUCGAGAGGAAGAAGGGGAAAGAGAGGACAGGGUCGUGGGGAGAGGAGACGAACCAUGAUACCGAAGGCGAGCCCGGCGAUGACCAUGUUCUCGAUGGAGACGGCGUCGAGCUCCAGCGUGGUGAGGUGGCCGGCGAAGACCUGGGUGACGGCGCCGAGGGAGUACUGGGCUAUGGACGUGAAGAUCGCCGGCCCCGCGAGGCANNNNNNNNNNNNNNNNNNNNNNNNNNNNNNNNNNNNNNNNNNNNNNNNNNNNNNNNNNNNNNNNNNNNNNNNNNNNNNNNNNNNNNNNNNNNNNNNNNNNGAUGGGGAGCGGGGAGCUAUGGAUCUACCUUGGGGGGUGGGGGGGAGGCGGAUCAGGGAGAGGAGGACGAGGAAGAAUAACAGAGAGCAUUGGGGGCGACAGGGGAAGAAGGGAAACGAUACUGGGUAAUGAUGCGGAAUGAGCAGUCGGGGGGGGGGAGAAGAAGGGACGGCUGCUGCUGAUUAGUCAUGGAGACAUCUUCUAAAGAGCCGAGGCCUCCAGGACGGGCUGACAGGCCGCCGAGAUUGGCGUGGAUUCCGGGGGCUUCGGGGCGGCCGGGUCCUUCUCGAGCUCCUCCAACUCCUGCAACCACAGCUGGGCGAAGUCGCAGUCCUUGUAGGCCUCGAACCAGGGGCCGCCGGUCGUGUAGUGGAUGGCCUUGGGAUAGGUCGCCGGGUCACCCUCCACCAUCUUGUUGUGCCCCACGAGGAAGUUCCAGACGAAGGGGACUUGCCCGAUCUCGGCGUCGUCGAGCCACUGGAACCGGUGGAGGAAGGCGCCGGUCUGGGUGCUCACCGUCUCCGGCGUCAGAGUCGCCACGUUCUUGGGGUGGCCGCAGUUGUAGAGCACCAUGGAGGACCAAUUCUUCCGCGGGUACGAGGUCUGGACCACGCCGUCCAUCUUCACGGUCUCCUUGGGGGCGUACUCGUGGUGGACGCACAUGACGGCGUAGCGGUCGUCGGCGAGGGCGGCGAGCUCCGCGACGUCGGCGAGGUAGAGGAAGUCGCAGUCCACGAACACGGCCCAUCCUUGGUAGCCGGCGAGGUAGGGGGUGAGGAAUCGGGUGAAGGAGAACUCGGUGCUCUCGGUGGGGCCGCUCUCCCGCCAGAAGAGCCCCGCCUCGCGGAGCUCCGGCUGCCUGAUGGGGAUCACCUCGACGGGGAUGGACGCGCGCUUCAGAAUGGAUCGUCGGCAGACCUCGUACGCCACCGCCUCCCGGGGAUCGUACCCGACGAAGAUCUUGAACGGCGCGGCUGGCGCCUUUGCGCCGUUGCAGCCCACCGGGGGAGACAUCCCGGACGAGAAAGAACCCUAGCCAGCGAACAAGACAGAGAGAGACAGAGAGAGAGAGAUCAGGAUCUGAGAGAGAUCUGAGGGGAGGAACAGGACGCCUGGGGGCCAGAUCCGGGGCGGGAAUCGAAAAUGGGAAUCGAUCGAGCUGAUUGCGGGGGGAUGGAGGGGGAAUUGCGGUGGAAUCGGCCUGGAAAAGAAUCUCAGCACACAGGAUCAAGCAAAACGGGGGAGGGCCGAAGGUCGCAGAGGCGUCACCUGGCGACCCCCCGGACCCCCCGACGCGGCGGGGGCGACGCGGGCGCGAGCGGCGGAAGCGGGAGCCGGAAUCCCCUCUGGCGGCGGGGAGACGAAUGCGGGAGACGGGGGAGGCAGACGACCACCCGCGCCGCUGUUCGGGCAAGGAAUGGGAUGGACCGCCCCUCCGCCCGCCCAGCUCUUAAAUACUGCGAGGGAAGACGGCGGUAAGAGAGAGAGAGAGCCACGAACACAGCGAGAGCGAGAGAGAGAGGGAUCCCAGUUAUUUUUCAAAACACUUGGCUGCAUCAAUCGCGGAGGGGGUGACCGCGGGUGGCAACAAGCAGGUGACAAUAAGCGGGUGUCAGAGGGGCGGCCGGAGCAAGCGAAGGACACGUACCGAUGAUAAUGCGCGCCUCCGCCACCGACAAGGCGAAGGAGAGCACCGGGAGGGUUUUUUUAACUACGUGAGGGCACAUUAUCUCUCGGGGCCCUUGCAAGUUCCAUUAUGGAAAGGUCGAGCUCACCCGCCACCGGACGGCAGAGACGGCGCGCUGACUCCGGUGACGUGGGCGUCGUCGAUUCGCCGGGACUCGAGGGACCGUCGGCGUCCACGUGCCUCCCGUCGCCGUCCCGUGCUCACAUGCCGCUGUGCGGCCCUUUACACGAGGCGGCAUCCGUUCUGUCGAACCUUCCGGUUGGAUUCGAUCCGGACCGGACGACCCCGAUGAUUCUCUGUCGUCCUCGCCGCAGCGUACGACCCAGAGGCGUCCUUCACUUGGCGGGGGAGCUUCGCGGCUCCGGCGGGCAGAGAGAGAGAGAGAGAGAGAGAGAGAGAGAGAGAGAGAGGAGUGCAUGAGGGGGUUGACUCCAGGCCGCUACAGCUUCUUCGAACCAUAAAGACGUUGAGGAAACAGUCAACCUCCUUUUCUUUGCCAGGGAAGAAGAAAACAAGGCCGCGUGUGGUGAGAAGGCAACCUGCGGUGAGAGGCAAGAAGGGCGUUAUUGGGGUGAAAUCAGAAGAGAGAUGCGCCGCCGAUUAUGAGAGGGGAGCGGUUUCCCACCGGACGGAGCCGCUCAGCUAGAGGCCCACGAGUACCCGCUGCACGUGAUCCGGCCGUCGCUUGCUCGGCAUCCGAAGCAGCCCCGCGAUCUGGAGUUCGGUGACCGCCCUGCAGAACCGUGCCCUGGAGGCAGCGCAUGCUAAGGACACACGUCAAUUGGGCGGAUCCCACCUCUCUCUCUCUCNNNNNNNNNNNNNNNNNNNNNNNNNNNNNNNNNNNNNNNNNNNNNNNNNNNNNNNNNNNNNNNNNNNNNNNNNNNNNNNNNNNNNNNNNNNNNNNNNNNNUUCCAAGAGUCAUGGCCCAAAAAAAGUAAUAAAAAAGAGGCUCCAGCUUCUUGAAGGCCCAUUAAAUAAAAGAAGUAGCAGCCCAAUAACAAGUGGGCCUACUUUAAGAUAUUAUAAUGGGCUUCUCUCUUGUUCUUUCAAGUCAUGUUGGGCCCAAGUCUGUCAAGCCUACAUUAGGCACCCCUUCUUCAGAAGAAGUUGUCCCCGAGUUAUCGUUUGAAUCAACGUGAUACUUAUAAAUAUCACUAACAUUAAAAGUUGGCGAGAUGUCCAUAUCUGUUAGAAGCUCAACAACGUAAGCAUUAUCAUUGAUCUUCCAAAUGAUCUUGAAUGGGCCAACUUCUUUGGCUUGAGCUUGUUGUAGAAUCCUGCAGGGGCUCUCUCUCUACGAAAGUAGACCAUGACUAAGUCACCUUCUGCACACGUCUUCUUUCAUUACUUCUUAUCUACUGUAUGUUUAUAUCUAGUAUUGCUUGCUGAUAAGGUAGCAUGUACCUCUGGAUGUACUUUUAUGAUAUGGUCCACCAUGUUGUUCACAACAAUGCUUCUUACCUGUUGAGGUGGUAGGCGCACGAGGUCAAGAGGUAUCUUUGGUGGGAAAAAUGUAUACAAUAGAAAAUGAAGACUUCUUUGUAGACCGAUUCGUCAUUGAGUUGUAAGUGAACUCUGCUUGCGAUAGCAAUAAAUCCCACUAUUUCGGUUUGUCCCCAGAGAGUCAAUGGAUUAGGUUGCCCAAUGUUUUGUUGACGACUUUUGCUUGCCCAUCAGUUUGCGAGUGGCACGUCAUACUAAAGUUUAAGGUAUUCUUGAAGUGUUUCCAUAGUGUGUGCCAGAAGUGAGAUAAAAACUUUGAAUCACGGUCCGACGUGAUACUCUCUAGAACACCAUGAAGGUGCACAAUGUCCUUGAAGAACAAGUUAGCAACUUGGACAACAUCAUUUAUCUUCUUACAGGGGAUAAAGUGUGCCAUCUUGGAGAACCUGUCCACGACAACAAAUAUAGAAACAAUACCUCAUUGGAUGCAUGGAGGACCCAACACAAAGUCCAAAGAGAUGUCGGUCCAUGGGUGCUCUAGAACCAAUAGUGGUGUAUAUAGCCUAGUCUUCUAAGAUUGGCCCUUGUUUGUUUGGCAAAUGUAGCACUUUCUUACAAGGCUUUCAACAUCCCUCUUCAGUUGAGGCCAGUAGUCUCAUUCCGACAAUAGUUGUAAAGUUAUGUCACACCCAAAAUGUCCCCCAAGGCCGCCGCAAUGCAGCUCUCAAAUUAGUUUAUCUCGUACCAAAGUGCGAGGGAUGAAUAAUCGGUCACCAGAGAAGAGAAAGUCAGCAUGCUUGUGAAAACUUUUUUGAGCGCAUCUAUUGUCACAUGUAUUCCAUAUCUCUGCAAAGUCAUCACUAGUGGCAUACAUGUCUUUUAGAUGGUCAAAGCCAAAAAACCUCUGUGCGCAUACAGACAAGGAGUGAAUUCUUUCAUCUCAAAAUAUCUACAACCCGAUUAAGCCUCCCUGAUUUAUGCUUAAUUGAAAAAGUAAAGUGUUGCCAAAAUGAGAUCCACCUGACGUGCAUGUGGUUGAUCGUCAUCCGGCUAUGCAAUGAUUUUAGUACUUGAUGGUCUGUGCAGAAUAUAAACUCCCUUUGAAUAAGAUAAUGCUCCCAAGUGUUGAGAGCUCUUACCACAACAUAAAACUCCAGCUCAUAUGUUGUCCAUUUCUUCCUUGCACCAGUUAGCUUCUCGCUAAAGAAUGUAAUAGGGCACCCUUAUUGAGAAAGAAUGACACUGAUUCCAAUAAUUGAGGCAUCACACUCCACCUCAAAAAGCCUUUCAAAGUCUAGAAGUGCGAGUAAGAGUGCAGAGGAAAGUUUCUCAUUGAUGACAGAGAAACUCUUAUUGGCACACUCUGUACAAGUAAAGGUUCCCCUUUUUAGGCACUCAAUAAUAGGUGCCAUUAUGGAAUUGAAAUUGUGAAUAAACCUUUGAUAAAAAGAUGCCAACCCAUGGAAACUAUUCACCUGGUGAAUGUUCAUAGGAGUGGGCCAAUCUCUUAUUGCAUUUACCUUCUCUUCAUCCACCAUGAUUUCCUCUGAGCUUAUAAUGUAUCCGAGAAAUAAGACGUUGAUUGUCACAAAUGAGCAUUUUUUCAUAUUAGUGUAUAGCUUGUUCUCGUGCAGGACUUGAAGAAUCAACUUUAGAUGCUCGAGGUGCUCCAUUUAAGAAGUACUGUAUACUAAUAUGUCGUCGAAGUAAAUGAUGACAAAUCUUCUAAUAAAUGGCUUCAAUACCUAGUUCAUAACCCUCAUGAAAGUGCUAGGAGCAUUGGACAGCCCAAAGGGCAUGACAAGCCAUUCAUAGUCCCACUUUCAUCUUGAAGGCAGUUUUCCAUUCGUCACUUGAGCGGAUGCAAAUUUGAGGGUGUCUGCUCUUGAGAUCAAUUUUUGAAAAUAUUUUCGCUCCACAGAACUUGUCAAGUAUGUCAUCCAAAUGAGGAAUAAGNNNNNNNNNNNNNNNNNNNNNNNNNNNNNNNNNNNNNNNNNNNNNNNNNNNNNNNNNNNNNNNNNNNNNNNNNNNNNNNNNNNNNNNNNNNNNNNNNNNNGAGAGAGAGAGAGAGGGAUGGAACUUUUGAUAGAGUUGCGAUGAGACGCAAGCGCCCCCCAUAUGAGGAAAAAUAGGAAAAAUUCAAUCUUUCUUGUGCCACUUGCAAAAGACCUGCCUGUCUCAUAUUAAUAAAACAUAAAUGACACUUAAAUUCGCCUGCUCAUACGUCCAUCUGUCAUGCACUCUCCGAUAGGCAAAGGUGACCUCCCAGCUUCUGAGGUCUUGGGCCACGCCUUCCCAGACCUUGGUGACGAGGACCGGAGAAGCGGGCCACCUUCCACGUCACCAUCCCGCCUCCCCGUCUGCCCCGUCGAGUCACCCAUUUAAUUGGAGCAGGUCAACACCCGCCGCCUCAUGAGUCAUCAAACCGCUAGACCCGGACUGUUGCGGCGCGCUGAGGGAAGUGAAGGAAACAAGAGGGGACGAAUGUAGAGGGAGGAGUAGGAGAGGGAAUAAGCUGCUCACAAAGAUGCCAUCGUGGCGGAGCCAAACCCCGAAGGGAACAAAACUUCACUGUUCUGAUUACUGCCCUCUCCCGUCACCGGGGAGGGAUUUUAAAAACAAACUCGACUCUCCUACGGCCGUGAAACAGAAAGCGCCAGUGGUCGACGACGAUGUCGCCGGUUGGCUAAUAGUAGACGAAAGCGUCGUCGAUUUUCCCGGUCCUGGUCCUCUGGGGGAAGCGGUUGCCUGUGCGGGCGACGGUGUCAAGUGCCGGGACGUCUAUCUCUGCAUGCUCAGCUGGUGCACCAGCCCGAGAAUCAGAACUAGAGUCCGUUUGACGUACUGUCCCGCGAAUCGUCAGUUCCUGAUCCCCAUCAGCUCCUGCAGGCGGCGGAGGACUCGACCGCGAUGAGUCGUUGGCAGGCCCCAUAGGGAAGGGUUGCGCCGGUGGAGUGAACGGUUGCUUGUAGGCUACCAAGUCUGCAACAUUGAAAGACUUACUGGUAGACCAGUCUGCUGGGAUGUCGAAUGAGUAGGCAUUUGCUCUCAACUGUCGCAGAAUGAGGAAAGGGCCAGCUGCUUGAGGGUGUAACUUUGCGUCUCUGAUCUAAACUCUACCAGUUUAAAGGCUCUGCAUAUCGUUCUCGACUGGUCCAUCGGCAGUCAAAACUGCACGGAAGCCAAGAACAACCUGACCGUCCCGUACGCGUGCCGCAGCAACAACAGCGAAUGCAUAGAGUCCAACAACGGCGUGGGGUACCUCUCCAACUGCUCGAAGGGUCACCAGGGCAAUCCCUACCUCAUAGGGGGCUGUGAAGAUAUGAUCAAUGCGCCGCAAUUUGUCCUAAGUUAGGCCUUCAAUUUGUCUCAUCAUUCUUAUUGACUCUCCGACGAUCUCAUGUAGAUAUCGACUAAUGUGUCCAAAGCGCGAAUUUCCAAACUAAGCUUGUCAAUCAGUACUUUCAUCUGUUCUUUGUCUGAUGGAAUACCUCUGGGUCAUCCAAAUUAAAUACCGCGGUUGAUCGAUCUUCAUAAGAUUUCGUUGACUUGUGUCUCAAUCAAUUAAAGAUUUAUCCUGUUUUGGCCCAUCAAAGCAGCAAAGGUUACCGGGGCCUCUUGCUUAUGCUAGAUGAGCAACGAGUUGUUCGGCCAAAACUUCAUUGUCAUGCAUUUAAUUCUGCGUUUUCCUUUCAAACAUCGUUCUAAAGCUAUCAACCGUUCUCUCAUAGAUAUUGACGAAUGCAAGAACAAUUCUAAUAUUUGUCCACCCAAGGCGAAAUGCAAGAACAACCCGGGAAACUACACUUGUGUGUGCCUAAAGGGGUACCGAUUUAACCACGACGACACAAGAUGCGAGCCCAUAUCCUUGCCUCCUAAGCUGGUUAUAGGUGAAGAAAACUCCUUCCUCAGCCUCAUGUUUUACUUCGUUAGUUCAAUGCAGCAGGUCGUCAUUACGCUGUCCUUCCACAGGUUUGGAUGCUGGCGUUCUCAUUCUCUUAGCAAUGAUUACUAGUUUGUGCUGGGGAGUCCAGAGGAAAAAACUCGCCGAACAACGGAAGAAGGUUAAGGAGCUGAAAGAGAAAUUAUUCGAGCACAACGGGGGGCCAAUGUUGCUCGAAUACAUCUCUUCUCAACCGGGCAACGCUUUCAAGAUUUUCACGGAAGAAGAGCUAGCGGUGGCCACCGAUGACUUCGACAAAGGCAGGGUCAUCGGCGAGGGAGGACACGGCGUGGUCUACGUGGGUAAGCUGGAGAAUGGGAUGGCAGUCGCCAUCAAAAGGCCCAAGAAAAUGGACCAGAGGGAGGAGGCAGAGUUCGUGAGAGAAAUGGCCAUCCUCUCGCAGAUCAACCACGUCCAUGUGAUGAAGAUCGUCGGAUGCUGCCUAGAAGUGGAAAUUCCUAUGCUCGUGUACGAGUACGUCCCUGGCGGCACUCUCUUCGACUUCAUCCACGGUCGGAGGCAGCAACUGGGUACAACCAUCCCGCUCGAGACUCGUCUCAGGAUCGCCACCGAAGCUGCCGAAGCCUUGGCCUACCNNNNNNNNNNNNNNNNNNNNNNNNNNNNNNNNNNNNNNNNNNNNNNNNNNNNNNNNNNNNNNNNNNNNNNNNNNNNNNNNNNNNNNNNNNNNNNNNNNNNUUGUACCCCCGAAAUAAAAGUAUACGAUCCUGUAAGGAUGACCUAUUUUUAGAGUUCUACAUUUACUAAUUUAUAUUAAUUUAUUACUAUUACGACAUGCUAUUUUUUCCAUUCAUUACCUUUCAGGAUCAGUCGUGGUCUUAUAGACUCUACCAAAAGUCUGGACGAAUUCGUUGCUUCAUCCAAAUGUGUAAAAGAUUAUAGCCGCACUUAAAAGCCGAGUACUCUACCGUUGAGUUAGCAACCCUGUAUAAUAUAUGAAUAUAAUAUGUGAAGAGUCGAUACAAUCGCAAUCUAAAUACAAACAACUAAAAUAAUAAAAUAAGAAUAUAUUUCAAUUCAAAACAUUUUUAUUCAGUAAUAAUUGAAGUAAAGAACCAAUAUAACCAAUAUAAAUAUAAAAGGCUAUAAACAGAUCCAUUUAUUUACAAUCGAAUUAUAUUUGUUCAAUACACCAUUGUCAAUAUGAAUUAUAUGAAAACAAAUCCAAUUUUUUAAAUAAAAGAAAUAAAGACUUGUGUUGGAUUGGCACAACAUAAAAUAGAUAAGAAAUCUGUAGAAAAAUAUAAGGAACAAGUGGAGAAAAUCUGAAGUUUAUUCAGUCACUAAAACUACAAUAAGAAAGAUUAACUCCUUUUGCUUGGUAAAUUCCUAAAACAAGAAAAGGGGGUAUCGAUAGAAAAAUAAAAAGGCAAAUCAAAUGUUGAGUAAAAAAUAAUACAAAGCUAGACUAUAUAAUAGAUAUUAGUACUAGAUAUUAGGCACUCAUUUUUUAUAUUUAAAAAUAUUUUGAUUAAUUCAAAGUUCUUUAAACAAUUCCGCCUUCUUAAAAAUAUCAUGAACAGUUCUUGUGGGUUGAGCCCCUUUUUCAAGAAAAUCUAGAAUAGCCGGAACAUUUGAAUAAGUUUGAUUCUUUAUCGGAUCAUAAAAACCCACUCUCCGAAGAUCUCUUCCUUCUCUUCGGGAUCGAACAUCAAUUGCAACGAUUCGAUAGAUGGCUCAUUGGGAUAGAUAAGCAAAGCCCCCCCCCCGCAGAAACGUAUAAGAGGUUUUCUCCUCAUACGGCUCAAGAAAGAAUGAUUCUAAAAUGAUUCAUUUUAAAAUUUAUUUUAAAUUCUAAUUUUUAAUAUAAACUUAAUAGUUUUAAGUUAAUUAAAUUUUAAUCAAUAAAUAUCAAUAGUCAUGUCAUAAUAUAGUCAUAAUGCUAUAAUCACAAACACAUCCAUAAAAUAAAAUGGAUAAAAAAAUGAAUUAGACUAUGAUUUAAAUUAUUUUUUUCCAUAAAGAAAAAACGAAACUUCAUUCAUUUGUACUCAUAACUCAAGUUGGCUAGCUUUGAAAGAAUUCGAAUAGAAAUCCUUAGAAUUUAUUGAGUCGUCUCUAACCCUUUUUGUUUGUCUCAUCUCAAAUCUGUUUGAAUUUUCUUCUUUAUUCCAAUUGCUAGAUUGGAUCUAAUUGAAUUGUCGAGACAGUUUAAAAUAGUGUUUCCUUGUUCCGGAAUCCUUAAUCUUUGCUUUAUCGAAUCCUUGGGUUUAGACAUUACUUCGGUGAUCUUACUACUUUGAAAACGGCAGCAACAUACCCUUUCUAGGAAAAAAUUAUACGAACAAUUUAUUCCCUUGUAAUACACUUUUGAUCGAAAUAGUUUUACCUUAACAAUUCCUUUGACUUUUUCAUUUCAAAUUAAAAUUGUUAGAAUUUGAAUUUUUCGAUUUAUAAAUUGAAAAUCUAUUGACAAAGUAGUCCAGCUUGUUAAUAGGCAUUAACCCUAGAUUCGUCCCCCCGAUAUGAUAAAUCAAUCAUUAUUUUCUACUCGAGCUUCAUUGUGUACUAUUUACUUAUAACCCUAAAAAUGGGGUUCCUAGUGAAACAGAACAAACCAUGUCGAGCCAAGAGCAUCCUCAUUUCUAUAGAAAAUGGUGGAUAUAAGAAUCCACACAAACGAUCACGUCCUUCAAGUCGCACGUUGCUUUCUACCACAUCGUUUCAAACGAAGUUUUACCAUAACAUUCCUCUAAUUUCGAACAGGGAUGGAAUUGAUUCAAUAUGGAAUCAUGAAUAGUCAUUGGCUCAGUCGGUACUUUUUAGUCUAUACUUUUUUAUCCAUUUCCUUUUAUUUUUUUCUGAAUAAAAUAAAAAAGUCUUUAUCCUGAGAAGUCUCAGCAAGAAAAGAAAGAAAUCCAAGUAUUAAUCCCUAUUUUCUAGUUAAACCUAGUCUUUUUUUUCAAAAAAAAAUGAGAUUUUUUAAAUGGGUCUUUUAUUUUUAUUUUUCAUUACAUUAAAUUUCCAUUUGAAUCAGGGAACUAAAUCAUUUAUUUUAUUUUUGUUAUUGAAAAUAAAAAGAUAUUUAUUAACCAAAAAACUAUAACUAUUCCACUGCCUAAAAUUCCAAUGAACCUGAAGGAUCAAAUUAGAAGUGUAUUUUCUCGAGAAAAUAGAUUUCUCACACUUGCAUUUCUUCAAGUGCCAAGAAUUCAUAAUAAAUUGAUNNNNNNNNNNNNNNNNNNNNNNNNNNNNNNNNNNNNNNNNNNNNNNNNNNNNNNNNNNNNNNNNNNNNNNNNNNNNNNNNNNNNNNNNNNNNNNNNNNNNUCUCUCUCUCUCUCUCUCUCUCUCUCUCUCUCUCUCUCUCUGUAGUAUAUAUAUAUAUAUAUAUAUAUAUAUAUAUGGCUGGAUAAAAUAGUCACGCAUGUUCCGCAGCACCUACCCCCUCCCCCCCCACCCUCCCAACCUUGCAUAUAUCCAAAGAGUUAUCUGGUUCCCUGGGAAUUUACACUGGGAUGAAAUUUGAGUCGUACCUUGUAGAAUUCUACGAAUAUUCAGAUACGAAGUCCAAGAUAAAACAAUGUAGAUAAAAUUUAGUUACUACAGUCAUCUAGGUUUUAUGAAAAUAUCAUCAUUGGCUGCAGGGUGAGCGUCUUUUGGUUCGACAGCAAACUCCGUCUCAUGCCGGUCUAUGGCGACGUCCAGCUUUUCGUCAAGGUCGCGCCCAGACAAUCCCAUCAAUCCGGCUCCAUUUUGCGGCGUGAAUUCUUCCUUCUCACUGUUCUUGAUAUUCUGCAGAAGAAGCCGGAGUUGAGCCCGCACUUGUCGGUUCCUGAGAAGGUCAAGAAUUCCCUUCUCCCUGUCCCCGGAGGAGGCUGAGGCUGCGGUCCCUCCGGGGGGCGAACAUUAUCGUCUUCCCACUUUAUGAUAUAUCUCCAUAUGUAUAUGGUUUAGAAUACCUUUUUUAUACUUAGCAAACUCCCUGUGUUCAUUCAGCUGACGGCAGGGCUGAGAUUGCUGGUUGUGGAGAAAUCGGAGAUAUUGCGGGCGGUAUGUGCUCAUCUAUGGUUUAUCAACUUCCGAAAGUCCAGUUUCUACGAUUUUUUUUUACCUUAAAACUUUUCGCGUUACACGUUUUCCCCUCUACUUAAGAUCAGAACUCAUCAGGACUGCAGAUUAGAGAUCUGCUGCGAGAGAUAAGCUCCUACAGUCUCAGGCCGCCGGAAUGGGUUUCUUUUCUUGAGACUUUAGGAGCUUAUCUCUCGCUGGAGACCCUCUCGCGUCUGUGGGUUGUAGAAUUUAUUCGACCCAUUAACAAACUGAUUGGUUUACAUGAGUAUAGCUAUAGAAAUAGUAAUAUGUUUCUUAAAUAAACUAUGAGCCAGAUUCGAUGAUCUGAUUGAUUUUUGGAUCCAUAGGUUUAAUAAACUACUUGUUUUGGAAAUUGGGGAAGACUUGUGCAUGUACCGCAGGGGGGGGUGGACCUCAGCGGAGGAUCAGUCCAGAUGCCCUACGCCAUCCCGAAGGCCGACGCCGGAAAGGCUCCCUCAGUCAAGGACGGGAAUUAAGGAUACGUCAAGGAGCUCUGUCAAGGGGACUGGCUAUUACCUCUACAUCCACAGGUCUCUCUAAGAUCCGAUUUUACGUUGCAUAUAAGAGAAAUGAACCAAAGUUUAACUUAUACUGGCGCAGCAGCUACAUGAAUUACGGUUCAGAAAGGGAAGGAACGGGCAAGUGAAUUGAUUGUGGAAUAUCAUCAUGGAAAGGAAAAAAUCAUACAUGGGUUCGACUGAGAAAAUCUUACUUUUCGGGCCCCAUUCUGAUACUGACUAGUGAUCGAGGCCCUCGCGGCCCGCCAACAAUUCUAUUUGUCAAUUUAAAAUGAAAAUAAUAUUAUUUUUGCGCAACAAAAUUACAAUCAUAUCAACGAAAGAAACAAGGAAAAACCGGAAGACGAUCUCAUUUGAUCAGAGCCCCGGAGUGCUUGAGAAGGACGGCGAGGGAGGGCCGCCUCCCUUGGCCUGCGCACCUCGCCAUCCCCUUCGCCGCCUCGAUCGCCUGCACGGGGUUUCCAAGGGUCUCGUCAUCCUUCAGACGGUCAGAGGGAGAGGGAAUCAGAGGAGUGACUGACGACCUUUCCGGUGAGUUUCUCCUUCUUCCCGUUGCGAGCAGAUCUCCGCCGCGGCGGCGGCGGCGGAGGGGGGCAGCGGGGAGGAGACUUCCCGGCCAGCUCAUCCUCGCGGGUCCUGCUCCUCGUUAGAACAGCCGGGCCAUGGACGCCGCCGUCGUUUGAUAAAACCUGCGGCAGGCUCGAUUCCUACGAGAUAUCCAAGGAAUCCACAUGAGCACGCAGGAUGAAGGAAAUCUUAGGCGGGGCCCCCGUCGGGCUACCCUCAGAAGCUCCGCCAGGAAGAUCUUCUGGGUUGAAACCUCCUCUGUGCAGGCUAGCUGGCCGAGUCCAGGGGAUUCCUCUGAGGUACUCGUCCACGUCUUUCUUCUCCCAUAAACCCUAAUGCAUUAACUAGAUGAUAGGUGCAGUUCAUGUUUUGAAAGUUUAUGCCUUCGAAGUGAGAAAUUUUCUGAUAUUUUUUCCCGCUUUUGUAGUAAUAAAUAUUACAUAUUUUGUCCUACAUUAUAUCUGUAAAUUGAAAAUAUGACGAGUAAUGGAACAUUACCAGUAAUAACACAGUGGCACAGUACUUGAAGACCUCCAAGUUCAUUCGGACGUCAUCUAGGCUCCUUCGUCAGUAAUGAAACAUUAGAACAUCGAUGAGAGAGAGAGAGAGAGAGAGAGAGAGAGAGAGAGANNNNNNNNNNNNNNNNNNNNNNNNNNNNNNNNNNNNNNNNNNNNNNNNNNNNNNNNNNNNNNNNNNNNNNNNNNNNNNNNNNNNNNNNNNNNNNNNNNNNUCGACAACACACCACUUCUCUCUCUCUCUCUCUCUCUCUCUCUCUCUCUCUCUCGGUCCCUUCCGCUAUCUUGCAAUGUCCACUCCAUGCUCUGUCUUGUGGAUUGGUUAGUGGUGGGUACUUACGUAUUUGAUGUAUCGCGGCGUGCUGUGUCUGUUGGUGGGAACCCCAGCGACCACAAUUUUUAAUGGUGGGGGCUCGCAAGGGCGUGGGCCAUGAUUUGCGAGUUAUUACCCCUUAAGAUUCUUCGCAGCUGCAGCCGUAGCCAACGCUCUAGGUCUGUCAUGUGAUCCGUGUCUCUUCUACUUUUCGUAGCCUGGGGAGAAGCUAAGGAGAAACCUGGGCUGUACAGCUUCAGUGAGAUCUUUACUGCGAGGUUUCAACAUUCAACUGGAUCCUCGCCGCCUUACCCCCGUCAAAUAAUGAAGAAGAGAUGCAAUAAAUUCCUGGUUGAUCUACUCAGUUCAGUAGCCAAAUAUUUACCGUCAGAAGUGGUCUUGAUGUAUGAUUGUUUAGUGAAUAAUAAUGGAAUCCGAGACAGGUUGAGAGAGAGAGAGAGAGAGAGAGAGGACUUGAUCAGACAAGGCUAACCUCUUCGGACUAAUGUGAUUUCCUCGAAUACUGUUAACAUGAAAAAUAUAUCCUUUCUCUCCUUGCCUUGACAAAUUUCGUUAUGCUCCUAAUUUUGAUAUAAACAUUUAUUAGAACCCCAAGUCCUUCAUAUUCGAUAUUUUAACGAAUUGUUAAGUGUAUGCUAUUCUUCGCGUUAAAUGAAGUUGCAUUAUUCUGUUCACUAUCCAUCCUUGGAUUCAUAGCUCUUUUGAGCCUUUAAUAAUCCAACAGUCAGAAGACCUUGUCAUAUUUAAGACAGCUUGUGGAACUUUCAGCUGAUUGUUAGGGCCAAAUAUUGGAUGAUAAAAAAAAUUAGGAAAUCUUUCUCAUGGAUCAGAAAUUAUUGCUAAAAGAACUCUUAUGCAAUCCAUAGUCCCUUAAAUUGAAGAUAGGAUAUAUGUUUCCAUCAUUCAAUGAAACUAAGCGUAGAAUUAAACGUCUAAAGACUGAUGGUAGCUUUACCUGGACAGAGGUUUUAAGGGGACAAGUUACAAUCUUCUGGAGAUAUUAUUUCGGACGUUGAAAUUCAUUAAUUUAUAACUUCACAGUUACCUCAGUAUCGUAACGUUACAACUUUAACAGCUAGAUGUCUUUGAAUUUCCGCUCAUUUUCUUCGGAAAAAUCAUUUUACAUCGAGAAGAAGACCUUUGCAUUUCUCCGACAACCCCGGCAGUAUAUCACCGACGUUAUUAUUGCUUUGGCACACUAUAUUACAGUUUCUCCACCAACUCUUGUUGCAUAUGACCUCUUGAGGCUUAUAUUGUCUCCCUGCCCUUGAAUCUGGCAUCAUUUCUCACUCUCAUCAUAAUCCAUGAAGCACUAUGCAUGACUCAAUCCAACAAUGACCAUACUGGUUUUUCCUUAUUUUUUCGGACAAAUGCACAUUCUUAUAUUUUAAUAGCCAUAAAUAAUGUCGAGACAACAUUUUACGCACAAAUAAGGUUAUUAUGUGAUGAAAUAAUUUUUUAUUAAAUAAAAGGACUUAUUUCAUCUAUUAAUUUGUAUAAUCCGAAAGACCCACUCUCCCACACUUUUGUACACAUUCGAGACCAGCGAAGUGUUAUUUAUUAAACUACGUUCAAAUCUUACUCGGAAAACCUACUGUUGUCCCAGUUCUCAGGAUCCAGAUCUAGAUUAACCCUAGUCCGGGCAUUUCACUCCCAAGGGAGAACGUAAUUUACCGAUACUUUAUGAAUGCGAAACAUCACCCUGUGAGAUGUUUCCCUUCCAGUGUUAACGAAAGCAAUGAAAAAUGGAAUGGGGCGGGGAAACCAAAUGAAGAAACCAGCAGCAUAGGCCGAAUUUCCAUUCCCAUAAGCUUCUCGAUGCUGACCCUCUUCGUAGAAUAUGAACUUAUAUUAAUAAGCUGUCGCUUACGUGGUUGACAAUUUUUGAGAAGAGGGCACCAUCUCAGCUCUUUCUUGCCCUGAUCCAACACAAGCCGACGCAAGAUAUACCUCAUUUCUUUCAGGUUCUCUUGGAGUUUUGAAUCGACAUCAUUCUCCCCUCCCCUACUUGAACCUAUCUGUGGCGCCAGAUCGGCGGCACUUCUUGUGGGAUGGAUUGACGAGGCCACCGUGAUGACUUAGCUUUCGACUCUUCCGUCGAUCUACGGACUUUGUCUCAUUAUUCGUCUGCGAGAGUGUGCCUUGUACAGUUGCAGGGAAGAUUUGGUCUCACCUAUCUUAUAAAAGACCUAAAAAUAAUCGGGCUUCGUGCUUCCACUUUCGGGUUUCUAGUAAAUGUUCGUUAGAUAUGGAUAAUCCCAACAUCUCUCUCACUACCCAGUCCCACCCUCACCGCACCCCCCCCUCGGGCCCUCCGACCUCUCUCUCUCUCUCUCUCUCUUUCUGAGGUCUUCUUNNNNNNNNNNNNNNNNNNNNNNNNNNNNNNNNNNNNNNNNNNNNNNNNNNNNNNNNNNNNNNNNNNNNNNNNNNNNNNNNNNNNNNNNNNNNNNNNNNNNUUGUAAAGAUCACGAAAACAAGUUUUUACCAAAAAAAAUAGCGGUUUUUUCUACAUCCAUUUAUUGCGGAAAUUGAUGAAUUAUUGAAAGUCCUCACAUUAUCAUAGAGUACAUUAAUCCUGGAUAAAAAUAUCUCUCACCUGGACUGUCAACGGUUAUGAUAUGAUAACGAAGAGCCAUUUAAAUAAAGUCAUGAUCUGAUCAUUUCUCAUGUUUUUAUAUGUUUUAUGCUUGCUUUAAGAAUUUUGAUACUUGAAGCUUGAUGACAAACCAUUGAGGCACCAAGAAGACAAAUAGAUUUGAAUGGCUACAACCUUGACUGUGGUAAACUGACAUACCAUCUUUAGAUGAAAGCAAACUAAUCUAAUCAUAGUAACACUCAAGAAUGAGGGUCAUUAAUAAGUCUUCAUUAUCAUGGGUUAAUAAUUUAGUGAUAUGAUAGUUUUAGCCUUAACUUAUGAUAACUAGACUUAUUUUUGUGUUAAAUUAUGAAAAGUUAUUUUUAGUUAGUUAAUAUGAAUUUUUUGAUUAAUUAUAUGACUUUAUAAUCUUAUUUUGUUGAGAUAAAUAGAAAAAAAAAGAUUAAAAAUAAAAAUAAAAACACCACUGGCCAACCGGGCCCGUUAGCGGAUUAGAGGCCCAGUUAGGCAAAGCUGCGGAGUGGCUAAGGAUUGCAAACUCGAGACUCAAGCGGCUAAGGACUGGACUGCGAGCUUAAGGCUCAAGUGGCCAAAGAUGUGGACCGUGAGCUUGGCACUCAAGCAGCUGACGUGUGCGUCACUCCCUUUCUAUGUCACCGGUGGCUAGCUAGGCAUGGGGUAUGGAGUGGUUAUACACACGUGGAUGAAAUGUACCUAUUGAUGUGUAAAAAAGGCAUCACGUUAUAUUCACGUGAAAAUCGGUCAGAAAAUUGAUGUGGGACUAAACCCAUAGCUCUAACCUAUCCUCGUAGGAUUUAUAAAUGUCCAAAAUACUCAUUCAUGACCGUGAUAAAAAUAUUCUUAUUACGUCACAUUGUAAGGGCAUUAUUAUACUUAUUUUAUCUCUCUCUCUUUCUCUCUUUCGUAGGUGGGCAACUGGCGAAUAAAUCACGAUUUCCAGUGAGCGAUUAAGUUGUAAAAAUUGUUAAAAUAUCGGCAAAAACUUAGUCAACGUGAUUCGUAGAGCAUCGUGACAAAAUUGAUGAACGAUUCUAGACAAAACAUUGCAAAAUCAACGAAAAAAUUAUCUUCGAUUAAUUAGCGAAUAAGUCAUCAUUGGGAAGAGGAUGAUUUGUUGGGAGACGAGUCACCACCUCCUAAGAACAUACCAGAUACGAUAAAGGGUCUCCUCUUACUAUGCUGACUUGAGGAUGAAGCCCUUGAGAUGCACCCACCUCCGUCUAGCUUACCUCUGUUGGGUGACAGCCGCUAGAGGGCCGCAAGUCACUGUUUUUCUAUUCCACCGGGUGACAGCCGCUAAAAAUAAUUUGGCGACACAUUCCACUAAUUUCUAGACUUCGCAAGAAGAUCUAGAGAUUGGCCACAUCAUCUUUGUCCAAAGAGAGCCUUCAAGGCUAUAGACAUUACACAAAUUCCUUCCCAAACAUCUAGAAUUCUAGUGAUUAUCGUCGCGAAGUUAAAACUCUAUUUUUCACUUUAAACUUUAUUUUCGUUUACAUUAGUAAUAUUUGACAUGAUUUCAACUUCAAUAUCCUUCUUCAUUGAGUUACGAUUCUUUAAACUUUUACAGAACUUAAUUUGACUCAUUAAUUCGAAGGUAGUUGCUUAUGAAAAAAUCGUAGGUUGGAACUCUAUUUCUACCUAAUUCGUGUUCUUCAGGUGCUGACAUCACCUUGACGUCAUAGCCUUCUUUCCUUUUUACAUUUCUUAAAUAUAUUAUAUUUAUAAUUUAGUUUAAAACAUAUAAAAAUUCAUAUUCAUUUAGGAAAAUUUUGAAAUAUUACUCGAUAUUAUAUUACAUCCCUCUAAUUCACUUGAAACUUUCUCACUAUUUUUAAAAUCUUUUACCGGUUUCUAAAUAAUUUAUUUAUUUUGAUUUAUAUUUUAAAUUCUAAGAAUUGAUCUUUCCUAGUUUUAUAAAUUUAAAUUUACGUGAUUUAUUAUACAACGAUUAGGUCACGUUAGUCAUCCUUUUACGAGACUUCUCAACAAGACAUUAGUAAAGAUAAGGACUCAGCAAACUCCAACCCUAGAGCUUGAUAAAGUGUUGGUAAAGUCCGAGGAUCAUGCCUAUUUUUACCAACCAAGAGGGAUUUGAAGUAGGGGGGGGUGUUAUUAGGACCAAAACGUCAGCUCCCCUCAGCAGAGCCCAGCAGAGAAACUGGACAAAGGACAAGCUAUUUUCACAGAUUAAACCCUAUCUCAACGUAUAUGAGGUGAAAUCAAAGAUUCCAAACGUUGAGAGCACGAUUAUCAGUUGAAACCAAAAUUAUUUUUCUGCUAUAAACAUGAUUAUCAACUUCCGAAUCCUUANNNNNNNNNNNNNNNNNNNNNNNNNNNNNNNNNNNNNNNNNNNNNNNNNNNNNNNNNNNNNNNNNNNNNNNNNNNNNNNNNNNNNNNNNNNNNNNNNNNNGAGAGAGAGAGAGGUGUUCACCUGCCAGCCAGCUUCGAUGGUGUUGAGAUCACCGCCGAAGGAGCCAGAGAUCACCCAAAUCUGAGACAGGCUGAACUCAGAAGGGGUAGUAACCCUAGGCGCCCACACAUUCAAGCUGGCCUUCGCACCGAAGUACUGUUCUCCCGUCACAUAACCAACUGCAUGCUGUACCCAAGUGAAUUAUUUUUUAGUCUUAACGCAUAUAUGAUGAAAGUUUCCAGAAUAUAUUCGAAGAUGGAGUUUAUCGAAUGCUCCGGCAUAGAUUUCUAACGAACAAGACUAUUCGGUGGAAGUUUUGAAUGGUCUCUAAAGUCAACCCUUCAAAAACAGUUCUCUCUGAAAGCCUCUAUAAUGGCCCAGGAUGAGAGAAAUUGAUAGGCAUAGACCGUCGGACAAAGGUUCUUCGGCCAAGCAGCUGGAUUUGCGUGACGUGGGAGAUCACAUGGAGUGAAAAGUCAAUGGGGGAUCGGGAUGAGAAAGAUAGGAGAACAGUGAGGAUCUUUCAGGAACUCGAAGGGGUUCUGUUCUCGCACAUGGAAGAUGGCCCACGGUUUCUCUCCUCUCAUCUGGCUAUGCAGGAACAGAAGAUGGAAGAAAUUUGUGCCUCUGAGCGCAAAUACUAUGUUUAGGAAUUCCUAGACCUCUCUUCGUUCUGAAAGUAGAGGAUAUAUAUUGAAGAUGAUCACAUGAAUAGAGAAGCGUUGAGCAAGCUGAGCUGUGUUUCUCCUCCAUUUCCCUCUAGAACUUACCUCAUGCCCGCCGCUGGUAGAGUCACGCCGCACCAUGGCCGCCGGCUUCCUUCCAAAUCGUCUGAGCGAGCUGGCUCUGAGCAUGUCCGCCUCCGUCGUCCUCCUUAUGGGGACCGUCCCCUCCGGGCAAGACUCGCCGGAAACAGCCCAUAACUGUAAGCUCUCCACAGUAGCGGGAUCCGCCGUCUCGAGGCCUUUAGGUCUCUCCGGUGGUUCCUGGAACACAGAGACCAUACAAGUUGUUGAAGCAUCCAAAAAACGGAGCUUGUAGAGUGAGCGAGAGAGAGGAAGUAGGGGGGGGGUGGGGGUGAGAGAAAGAGAGCAAGGGGAGGGAGAUUUCCUAGUUACCAGAGGCUUCUGCCCCUUCAGCUCUGGGUGAUCAAAAGCAGGCUGGAGAUGUGAUGGAACGCAGUCGAUCAGAUCUCCGUCGGGGCUCUACAGAAAAAUGCAGAAAAUAUUCUUAGCCUUCUGUUUUCCCGACAGAAAAGGAGGAGAUGGGAUGCUGGAGAACUCCAGCGGACAGACCUGAAUUGUCUUCGCCGAAGGCUUGUUCAACCGCCUGAGGUGGGCUCUGAUCCUCUUUAGCUUCGCGAGCUCUUCCCCAGGCCGGAAUGUGUUGUUCGCCGCCGGCGCGGCGUGGGCGGCGCUGGCGGAGACGAGGAGGAAACCAACAAAGAAGGCGAAGAUUUGGGAGGAUUUGACGUAGCUAGAGGCCAUGGUAGGGGAAUUUUGGUGCGGACUUCCUCUUCCAGGAGUUGUCCUUGUCUCUGUGCAUUGGUGUGGUUGUCUUGUUGUUGUUGUUGGGAGAUCACCGAGUUGGCUUCCAAUAUGGAAGCUUCCCGGCUCCUCCCUCCGCGGCGAGAGAAGUGCCAUUUGCGAGCCAGCCCACUUGGUACUCAAGAACUUCGUCGGCUCACCAUGGCAGUCGACCUUUCCGAAAGCUUAAUAGACCUCAAGAUAAUAAUAAUAAAAAAAGAUCUCGCUCUCCCUCUCUCUCUCCCUCUCUCUCUCUCCUCUAAUACCUCUGGUAAUGGUUUCCAACCGGCAGAACUCUCAACGCUCAGGUACGAGUUAUUAAAAGUGUACUAUGGGCUUCUACAGUUUGGGAUUUUUCUAGGCUUCAAACGCCAUGGAGUCGAGGAAGCUGCUGACCGAGAGGAUAGGUGUCUCUUUUAAAGAGUGUUCCCGGAGACCCAUCCUUAAAUCUCUCUCUCUCUCUCUCUCUCUCUCUCUCUCCCCGUCAUUCUUUUCUAUAAUUGGGAGAGGCGAGCUUACGGGCGCGUCAUCUCCGGCUCGCUUUUCAUGGGCAUUCUUUCUCUUUUCCCCAGGUGUUCUCAGUUUACUUGACGGUAAGCCCUGAUUUGUUUUCAAAUAAUGAUACAAAGCGAAGGGCUCGUCCUUUCUUUUCUCCCCUGGAAGACCCCAACUUAACGACCUAUCUUUUCUUAAGCACUUCUUCUGGUUUAUCAUCCAACAAGGAGAAUCGGGCUUCCUCCGUCAUUCGCUAGAUAUGGCUCCUCUCUUCGGUACUCAGAUAGCCAUUGCCGCGACCAGGUUUUCCUCGUUAUUCACCGACCCAAUAACAGAAACCAGCUCAUCUUCGAACUCACGCGAAGGGUAUAACUGGUUAGACUUCGGAUGGAAGUGGCGUAGUGGGUUCUCAUUCUCCCUGCGCCAUCAUGCUCGCCACUCUCUCUCUCUCNNNNNNNNNNNNNNNNNNNNNNNNNNNNNNNNNNNNNNNNNNNNNNNNNNNNNNNNNNNNNNNNNNNNNNNNNNNNNNNNNNNNNNNNNNNNNNNNNNNNUCAAAAAUGGAAAAAUCAUCCAUAAAAACCUCUAAGAAUUCACCAGUCAUUUCAGAAAAAAGGGAUGUCAUACACCUUUGAAAUGUGGCGGGUGCAUUGCAUAAACCAAAGGGCAUAUGAGUGAAGGCAAAGGUUCCAAAGGGGCAAGUAAAAGUUGUUUUGUCUUGAUCAUUAGGAUUGAUAGCUACCUAAUUAUAAUCGGAAUAUCCAUCAAGAAAACAAAAGUAUUUUUUACCAGUAAGUUUCUCAAGGAUUUGAUCAAUAAAUGGGAGAGGGAAAUAGUCCUUGGUGGUAGAGGCAUUUAGUUUCCUAUAAUCAAUACAUACUCUCCACUUAGUUGGUAGCCUAGUUUGGAAUUCUUCCCCCUUUUCAUUUUUUGAUAAUGUAAGACUAGAUUUCUUGGGUACUACUUGAAUAGGGCUUACCCAUUGACUAUCUGAUAUGGGGUAGAUAAAUCCAACAUCCAACCAUCGAAUAAUUUCCUCCUUAACCACUUCCAUAAGCUUAGGGUUUAAUCUACGUUGGAAUUCCCUAAUAGGCUUAGCAUUUGAUUCAAGGUAGAUAUUAUGCAUGCAUAUUUUUGGGUCAAUUCCUUGUAAGUCAUGUAGAUGCCACCCUAAAGCUUUUUUAUGUUCUUUUAAAACAUUGAUUAAAUGAAAUUCUUCGGUAUUCGAUAAAUCUGAAGCAAUAAUAGAAAAAUGUAUUUAAGGUGAUGUGGUAAAACCUUGAGCUCAACAUCAUUGACAUCAUUAAAGGAUGGAAACUCUUCAUUAGAGGUGUUCAAGGCCCAUACCUUUUUAACGACGGUGUCUACCAUAUCCACUUCUUCUUCAUCAUAGGGAUAUUGAGCUGCCUUAAAAACAUUGAGAGAAAUUUUGUCUUUUCCACAAUAUAUUUUCACAAUACUCGUGGCACAAUUUAUGUUAGCACUUGUAGUGGCCAAAAAUGGGCGUCCUAGAAUAAUAGCGGAAUCUUUAAUGUCCUUAGGUGGGUUCAUGUCUAAGACUAAAAAGUCAAUUGGAAAGAAGCAUCCUUCAAUAUUGAUGAUAACAUCUUCAAUGAUACCCCUUGGAUGCCUUAAGGAUCGAUCUCCUAGAGAAAGGACUAUGGGGGUAUUCUUAAGUUUUCCUAAAUCAAAUUUUUCAUAAAGAUAUAUAGGGAGAAGGUUAACACUAGCCCCUAGAUCUAGUAAAGCUCUAGAAAAUGUAAUUCUUUUUAUGCAACAAGAAACUAAGGAGCUCCCAAGGUCUUUCCUCUUUUUGGGUAGUUGAUCAAGAAUUAAGGCACUAACUUUUGCAGAAAGGUUAACUUGUUUAGUUUCCCUCUUAGGUGUACAAAGAUUUUUUAAAAACUUAGCAUAAGAAGGUACAUGACGAAUGGCAUCUACUAGAGGGAUGUUAAUAUGAACUUGAGAAAAUAGUUCUUUUAAUUCUUGGUCAUCUAGAUCCUUAGUCUUCCUUUUUGUAGGUAUUAGUGCAGAAGGAAAUGGAAUGAGGGGAGAGUAAGUGCUAGGAUUAGGUGUUUUUGAGGGUUCUUGGUCUACUCCUAAUUCUUCUUUUUCUUUUUCCUCCCUAAUGGGUUGUUCAUCAAUCUUGGGAAGGGUUUUACCACUUCUAAGCUUCAUGACUCCUUUUAUUUCUUCUAUUUGGGAGUUUUGGCUUGAGCUAGGGUCAAGGCUUAGGACCAUAGAGGAAUUUUGAGUAGUGGUAGAGAAGCCUGAGGGAGUAUGCCUAGGGUUAGGGAUAGUUUGGCUAGGAAGUUGGCCCCUAGGGUUGGACUCAUUAGAUUGGGCUAGGUUUCCUUGGAGAAGUUGGAGAAGUUGUUGAUUUUGAGACAUAAGGAGGUUUAAGGCUUGUUGAUGUUGUCCCAUUUGCUCCUUAAGGACCCUAACUGUGACUUCUAGUUGGGUGGUGGGAGGCGGUUGUGGUGGUUGAGGUCCUCCUAUUGGUUGCCUAUUUAGGUGUGGUUGGUUAGGGUUUGCUUGAUAGGCAUUCCUUGGUGGGUAAGGGAGAAUAGGUGGAGAGUUAUGAUUUUGAAGACCUUGAGUGUUUUGAAAACCUUGAGGAUUUUGAAAUUGGGGAGGGUUUUGAAAACCUUGAGGUCUUUGAAAAUUGUUUUGAGAUUGGAAAUUCGAGGAGGGUUGUUUUUGAUAUCCUUGAGAUGCUUGAUUAGUUCUCCAUGAAUUUCCUAAGGGAGAUUGGUUAAAUGUAUUUACAUGCUCAUUAUUUACUACCUCUAGAAAAGUAUGACACCUAUUCUCAUCAUGAUCAUUAUUAAAACAAAUGGAGCAUAUGGAAGCCUUAGGAGGUGAGGGGUUAGAACUAGAUGUACCUUGUAUAGAGAGAAGCUUCUCUAGCUUCUUGUGAAUCUCUGUCACCUCAUUGCGGAGCUCCUUAUCUGCAUGUUUGACAAGUUCAUAAACUCCAUCUUUCUUGAGAGGAGGGUUAGUGCGAUCAUAAUAUGAAGAAGNNNNNNNNNNNNNNNNNNNNNNNNNNNNNNNNNNNNNNNNNNNNNNNNNNNNNNNNNNNNNNNNNNNNNNNNNNNNNNNNNNNNNNNNNNNNNNNNNNNNUAAUCUUUUUAUUUGAAGAUUAUAAAAUCGAUAACCCUUACUUUCAUCAAUAUAUCCAAUAAAAAUAUAUUUUUCACUCUUUUUGUUAUCUUAUCAUGAUCGUCAAUAUCAAUUAAAGCAUAAGAUAUACAACCAAAAACUUUUAAAUGACCAAUAUUAAACUUUCAAUGAUACCAACCUUCAUAAGGAGUCAUAUUCAUCACUGCUUUUAUAGGAAAAAUAUUUAAAAGAUAAAUCAAAGUUAUAAUGGCUUUCUCACUAAGCAUACUUAUAUUCAUUUUCACAAUAGUUCUAUUUUUUCUUUUAACAAUAUCAUUUUGCUCUAGAGUUUUUCUAAUAAUGAGCUAUCUUUUAAUUCCAUACUUCUUACAAAAUAACUCAAAAGUCAUGAGAAAUAAAUUCUCCUUCUCGAUAUGUUUGAAGAGUUUCAGUAAUAUGUCCAUUUGAUUUUUCAAUAAAAGCCUUGAAAUAAAUAAACUUCUCAAAUACUUCAAAUUUAUGAGAAAUAAAAUAAACCCAACUCAUAUGUGUGAAGUCAUCAAUAAUUAAUAACAAAUAUCAACUACUAUUCAAAGAUAAUAUCCUCAUUAGACCACAUAAAUUAACAUUUAAUAAUUCAAAUAGAAACUUUGCUUUCCAUAAUUCGCCAAUAAGAAAUGAUAAUUGAUGUUGUUUAUCAUAAACAUAUCCUUCACAUACUUUGUCAUUUGCUCAAAUAGAAGGUAAACUAGCAAGUAUAUACUUGUAAUAUAAUAAUUUUAAUGCGUUAAAGUUUAAAUAACCAUAAUAGAUAUGUUAAAGUAAAGAUAAAUUAUUUUCUUUUGUAAUCAUACUAAAGUCAAUAAGUCUUGAAUUAUCAAGAAACAUUUUAUUUUCAAUCUUAGGAAUCACCAUUAAAACCAUGACACUCUCCUUAUACUUAAUAACACAUAUAUCAUCUUCAAAAUGAAUAAUAAAACCACAUUCCAAUAAUUGACCCACAUGGUAAGUUAUAUGCCAUUUUGGAACAAAAUAAACAUCAUGAAUUAAUGUAUUUUGCCCUUGAUUUAGUGUGAAUAAUAAUAGUACUAAUGACUUCAAUUUUCACACUAUUUCCAUCACCAAUAAUAACAUCACAAACCGUAGAGGUGUCAAUCUCUUGAAAUAAAUCUUUUCCAGUGAUCAUACGAUCGUUGUAACCACUAUCAAUAAAUUAUACUUUUGAUGUACUUGAGCUUGAAGAAACAUUAGUGAUAAAAAACUUGUUUUAAUCAUUUUCUUGAAUAAUAUUUACUUGCUCCUUUUUCGUGUCCCAAUAAUUUAUUUCAAUAUGACCAUACUUCUUGCAAAAAUUAUACAUUGAUUUAGAAUUCUCUUCUCUUCUGUUUUCUUGUUGUUUUGCCUUUUCAUAACAAUAUACUUCAAUGUGACCAUAUUUCUUGUAAAAAUAACAUUACAUAAUUUUGUAAUUUGGUUUCUAAUUUUGUUUAUUUCUUCCAUGAUUUCUUUGUUGCCCAUAAUAUGAUCUACUAUGGCCUCUUUCACAACCUCUAUUUUGAUAGUGUGAUGUACCAUGUCCUCAUUAUGUAGAUGUACUUUCAUUAUUUUUCUCAUUCUUUGAAAUUUCAACCUUUGCUUGGAGUGCUUGCUCAAUAAAUUUUUCUUUUUGUCUAUUUAUUUUUUCAUGUGCUAACAAUGCUCUAGCUAACUCAUUUCGAUAUAAAUAGAUAAAUCCUUAGAUUAUUCAAUAACUACAAUAAUAUGAUCAAAUUUAUAUGAAAAACUUUUUAAAAUUUUUUCAACAAUUCUUCUUUUUAUAUCUUCACCAAAUAUUCUCAUUUGAUUUAUAAUAACAACAACUUUAGAAAAGAAAUCAUGUAUUGAUUCAUCUGAUUUCAUAAAAAUAUUUUCAAAUUCUCAAUGAAGAGUUUAAAACUUUAAAUUCAUAAUAAUGUUAUUACAAGGAAAUUCAUCUUUCAAAAUUUUUCAUGCUCCAAAUGAAAUUGAUGCAUUAACAAUUUAUGAAAAAAUAGCUUCUAAAACUAAUUGUUGUAAAACUAAUAAUGCCUUAACAUCCUUUUUUCGAAAUUCCUUAUUUUCUUGUCUUCAACUCUCUUUUUAUUUCCACUCUCAACUAAUUCUCAUAAGUCUUGAGAAAUAAAAAAUAUUUUCAUUUUGAUAUUCCAAAUGUCGUGAAAUGGAUUUAUCAAAAGGAUUCUCAUCAAGAUAUUUUUUUAUGUAUCUUCUAUGAGUUUCAGAUUGUAGUUUACUCUUAUUGACCAAUGUAAUACCUAUGGUUUGAUAUAUAAGAAAUAAAAUCAUAUUUCUCUCCACUACAAAAUACAACAAGAGGCUAUGAUAAGUUUAGGUGGUUAUUGUUCACCAUCUUACUGUUAUGAACAUUCCUCUCCACGUAAAUGAUGAGUAUAAUAUUCAAAAUACAUGCUAUGGUAAGAAAUCUUCAAAAAUCUCAAAUAUUUUUCACAAACCUNNNNNNNNNNNNNNNNNNNNNNNNNNNNNNNNNNNNNNNNNNNNNNNNNNNNNNNNNNNNNNNNNNNNNNNNNNNNNNNNNNNNNNNNNNNNNNNNNNNNGAGAGAGAGAGAGGUUGGGUCAAUCGCUCAUUAGGGGCAUCUGCUGUGGGCAACCCCAUGUCAACGAGAAACUAACUGGUUGUUAUUUGAUAAGAUUGGAGACUGAGAAGGUCCAAGUAUAUCUGUUACAUGGCCCAAUAAAAAGUUUUUUUUUUUCCUAUUCUUCCGUCAGUUAUUCAUCUUCUCAGAAGCUCGCUUCCUCGCGUCUUCGAGCUCGUCGGUCGCCUCCUCGGCCUUACCGGCGACAGCCUCCUUGACCCUCUGCGUGGCGUCCUUGGCCGCCCCCCAUGCAUCCUGCACCUUCUGCUUCGCCUGGUCGCCAAUCUCCUUCGCCGCCUCCGCCGCCCGGCUCGCCCCUUCCUUCGUCUUCUCCUCGGCGGCGGCGCCGGCCUCUGAGGCCUUCUCCUUGGCCUUCUCGCCGGCGCCGUCGGCCUUCUCCACUGUGGCGUCUUUGGUCUCCUUCAGCGUCUCCGUCGCCCGCGCGGCGGCCCCGUGGGUCGCCCCGGCGGCGCGGUUGCCCCCUUCUCUGGCCUUGUCUGCUGCCUCACUGACGGACCCAGCAGCCUUCUCCGUCGCCGCCUUGGCCGCCUUCACCUUCUCCUCAUCAUUCUGCCCAACGACGUGCAAUGAGAGAGAGAGAGAGAGAGAGAGAAACGAAGAGAGAGAGGGUGCAUACCUCGGAGGAGGAGCUCGUUGAAGUAAUGGCACGCAGGCGGCGGGCUCUGAUGGGGAGCGAGGGGAAGGGCCGCGGGGGGAAGGCCCUGGAGAGGUUGCCGACCAGGGGAACGCGUCCUACAGGCAAGGCCGCCAUGCUCGUCUCUCUUCUGCGUAUUCUCCUUCCCUAUCCUCUUCUUCUUCCUUCUUCUGUCUAGGAUCGAGACCAUCAAAUAGAGGGGAGGGGAGGACGGACCAGGACUCCUGGGGAAGCUUCUGCUCUCGACACGUCCAUGGCUGAGCUGUGCAAAACACUCUGCGCUGUCAAGCAGUGCUUUCGACACCUUGCAGAGUCGGCAGAAACGACAAGGGGGAUCCGAACAGCCUAUCUAAAUGGGAACACCUUCUGCGGCCCAAUACGACUGGUCUUAAUGGAGGGGACGGUACGAGAGAGAGAGAGAGAGAGAGAGAGAGAGAGAGAGAGAGAGAGAGAGAGAGAGAGAGAGAGAGAGAGAGAGAGCCUAGUGAAGGUGCUCAGAUUCUAUGUUCCUCAGAAAAUAUUCUUUCUUUUCUUAUUUGGCAUUUCUUGAAGAUUGUACAAAAUGGACGGAUAAAUAAAUCCACCGUAUCCUAUCGUUUCGUCUGGCCGGCCGGAUUUGUCUGAUUAAACUAUCAAGAUAAAGCCAACUAGCAACUCAGAGAAGGAAGAAUCGAGGAACCAGUACUCUAGGAGUCGCAUGCAUUCCUAGAUAAGUUUCCAUGAAGCCUCUACAAAUUCUAGUGCGCCAUUAAAAGGGGCUCUCGCCUGAGGUCAUGAUCAAAGGGAUUACCUUAGAACAAGCCUCCAUCCGCAGUGCAUUUGCCGCCUGAUAUUGGGUGGUCAAAAGGUUGAGCUCAUUAUAAGAUGAACUGAAGAGCGGACAUAGCAUUAUUUUCGCUCCGUCAGCCACUGCUGGACCUUAAUCGGCUGGACUACGAUCCUCCAAAUCAACAAAUCCAAUCCCUUGCUCCACCUGGGUUUUGGCGUGGAUCGCCCCCACC
rnacentral:lncRNA from 1 species